CCAUGUUUUAUUGACUCUCAUACUCUGUACUCGCGAUCUCACACCGACCAGAUUGUGACUUAAACUGCUUACUCUAGUACUGGUUUUUUAUUUUUUAUCUUAAACAUGUGUGAUUUUUUGAAUUUAUAUUAGUGGAAUUUUUUCAUAUAUUCAUAUAUUUAAUUAAUUAAUUAAUUAAUUAGUGUAGUUUUGUAAUUUAAUUAAGUGUUAAUUUGAUUGAAAUGUAUCGAAUAAGCAUCGAUAUAAGUUUGUUUAAGAUUUAUAGUUAAUAUUUAUCACUUAUCGGCCACUUAUUAAUCAUUUAUUGAUAAUGGCUGCUCUUAAUAAACUCAAACGUAGCAGUGUUCAAUUAAGGCAUGCUGCACUUGAAGUACGAGCGGCCGUACGAGCGCGGCAUAUUGUCGCAGGACUUGUUGCAGUAGGAUUUGCCCUUUGUGGUGCAGUUGAGGUGAGUUCAUCAGUUGCAUUAUUGGCAAAUCAAGAAGACAAUCAUGCUAUUAUCGAUACAUCGUGGCAUUGUGAUAUGCUGGUUAAUAUCAGCCGUCGAAAUCGUACUGAAGAUUUUGAAGUUAUUCUCUUAGAAUUACCGCAAGAAGAACGAGCUGAGUCAAUUAUGAGAGAGGCAUUUCUAUGGGGACAAGUCGCUGGCCCAAUACUUGGGGGUUGUCUCGUUUGGGGCAGAUCUGGCCCAUCGAUGGUUUUUUCCCGAGCUGUUUUAGGCGCCUGUCUAGCUUCCAUACUUGUCCCUGCCGCAUGGAGAGGUCCUUCACACGUUGCUCUAAGACUAUUUCAAGGACUUUGCACAGGUGCAACGAUGCCUGCGGCUCAUAUGUUCGCCAUGACAUGGUUCAAAAGUAACCAUCGGAGUUGGUACUUCAGCUGUUACGCUGCUGUCAGUGUUGGUUACUGUUUAACUGGAUGGAUUGGCACUGCCGCCGUAAGAUCUUUUGGCAGAGAUUCUCUUUGUUAUGGUUUAGUAUUUAUAGCACUUUGUUGGUACUUUACAUUCGGUCACUUUGUAAAAGACACUCCCAAGUCGUAUCAACAUGACACUACGGGUGCUGUGAUACCGUGGGGUAAAUUACUGAGAUCGGUGCCUGUUUGGGCAUCGGCGGUUGCCACGAUGGGCAAUCAAUGGGGUGACGCUACUCUGGCUCUUGGCAUGACUAAAUAUCUUAAACUUAUAUACGGAUUUUCAACAGCAAAUAAUUCAGUAUUGACCACAUUGCCUCACAUUGGUCACUUCAUGGCAGCUUUAACAUGUGGUCUUCUUGUUGAUCAUGUCCGCGAGUCUGGAAUCGUGUCGACAACAACUGCAAGGAAACUUGUAGUUUAUACAGCACAUUUUAUACCUGCUGCGUUAUUAUUCGUCGCGGGUUACGCGGGCUGUCAAGCUCUUGGUGCAGCUUGGUUGGGAAUAGCCGCUCUACUAGUGUCUGGUACUGCUCCAGCUGGUGCACUUGCAGCAAUUGCUGAUUUAGCACCAGCAGAAUCUCCAGCUUGUGCUGCUGCUGCAUGCGCACUUUGUUCUACUCUUGGUGCCGCUGGAUUACUUGCUGCUAAUUAUUUUGUUACUCAAGCACUUCAUGGAUCGAUCGCCGGAUCAUGGCGUCUAGUUUUUGGCGUAGCAUCGCUCGUUCUUUUAUUAACAGCAGCAGUUUUUUUGGCCUUAGGAAAAGGCGUACCUCAGCCAUGGAUUCCCUCUGUCGCACGUCCUCGUAGUCACGAUGUAAUUUACGAACAAGAUGCAUUCGAACUAGACUACGAAGACGUUGCCGUACAAACAGAGCCGUUUAAUUCUUAUACUCUCGAUGAAGAUAUCGAAAGUAAUAGUAAAGACAUUCCGCGAUCUACGUCAAUCCAAUCAAAAUUAUCGGUCGCAACAUCUACGAUCAAUUAAUUAAUCAUAAAUAUAUACCUAUAUAUUUUUAAUUGUAUAUUUUUUAAUUACUUUAAU